GGCGAACGCUGGCGGCGUGCUUAACACAUGCAAGUCGAACGGGCCUUGUCCCCUUUUUUUUUGGGGGUGGGGUUAGUGGCGAACGGGUGAGUAACACGUGAGUAACCUGCCCCUCACUUCUGGAUAACCGCUUGAAAGGGUGGCUAAUACGGGGUGUUCUGGCCUGCUCGCAGGGGUGGGUUUGGAAAGAUUCGACCGGGUUUGGUUGGUUUGGUGGGGGGUGGGCUCGCGGCCUAUCAGCGUGUUGGUGGGGGGGUGGCCUGCCAAGGCUUUGACGGGUAGCCGGGCUGAGAGGGUGGGCGGGCACACUGGGACUGAGACACGGCCCAGACUCCUACGGGAGGCAGCAGUGGGGAAUAUUGCACAAUGGGCGCAAGCCUGAUGCAGCGACGCCGCGUGAGGGAUGGAGGCCUUCGGGUUGAGAACCUCUUUCGCCAGUGAAGAAGGUCCUGCUCUUUGUGGUGGGGUUGACGGUAGAUGGGUUAAUGAAGCGCCGGCUAACUACGUG
rnacentral:rRNA from 1 species